CAAGCGUUGUUCGGAAUUACUGGGCGUAAAGGGCUCGUAGGCGGCCAACUAAGUCAGACGUGAAAUCCCUCGGCUUAACCGGGGAACUGCGUCUGAUACUGGAUGGCUAGAGGUUGGGAGAGGGAUGCGGAAUUCCAGGUGUAGCGGUGAAAUGCGUAGAUAUCUGGAGGAACACCGGUGGCGAAGGCGGCAUCCUGGACCAAUUCUGACGCUGAGGAGCGAAAGCCAGGGGAGCAAACGGG
rnacentral:rRNA from 1 species